GGGUUUCUCGCAUGAGGUCAUAUUUGAGCGUUCAAUGCAUCUAGAAGAUUAAAACCCCCUUCAGGGAUAUUUUGUGUGAAAACUUAAAACAAUUUCAUGUCUGGUUAAAGAUGUUUCUCUCAGUCCUGUGUUACUUGAAUUUGCUCAAUUAAAUUCAACAAGUAAUUAAAACAUGUUUUAUGCCCUGUAGACAAUUUCUACAUCUAAAGUCCCAGAGGAACGCUUGUCCUUGUCUGCUGGACGCUGGAGAAACACAACCCAACACAAUACAAUGCCGCCCCCUUCCGGACCACAACAAUCCCACCGCGCAUCUGAAUUCUGAUCUAUGGCUGCCCUUCGUAGAAACAGCUGGGUCUAGCACAGACACCAAACGCUGCUGGGGUCGUUAUUCGAGCCUUUUAGCUGCAUAUGAAUCCGGCCAGAUCGAGUUCAUUAGGCGCCAGGAGAGUGUCUAUUCAGGUGAAAAUGAAUGAAGGGACCAGGUGAAGAGAGAUUUUUACAGUAAGUAUCAAUCUCCCAGUCACCCGCAGCUGUCUGUGACGAUUGAUUUUGCAUGCUGCUCUCAACUCUCUAUAAAUGGGAAAUGAUGGCUUGAUAAUGCAUUGUCAAGCCAUCAUCAUCCACCUUUUUCUUCAACGCGGAAGUAAGCCUAUGGGUGAGACUUCCGGUUCAUUAGCCGCUAUAGGUGAAUAACAACGUGCAGUAAACGAUAAAUCUAUUUGCAAUACAAACCAGUGUGUUAAUAAGAUAAUACAUUAAAAUAAUAUGAUAAGACACACCAACUUUCAAUAUCAAGCAAAAACGAGCUGUUUUGUUCAGCUAAAAAUAGCUGGAAGGAGUAGACGCAGAUGAGACCGGAAGCCAGACCCAUAGAAUUUACAAAUGGCCACGCCCAUUUUUAUAACCAGAAAAAGGUGGAUAGGCGUUUUGGGACAGUGAAACUGAUAUUUUUUGAAACCGGGUCCCAGAGUGGAUAAAUUUGAAAAUGCCGCCCUUGCAUUUUCGAGUGGACAGCGAAUCCGUAUAAUUUGUGAAACGAUGACGUCAUCAGCCCACGUCUCACCCCUAGUCAGACACCGCUACGUCACGUAACAGCAACUAAAACAUUUUAUUAACUAACAUUAACACAGAUUAAUAAAUUAUAUUGGUCCAUGUUCGUUUGUAUACCGCGCGCAAGGUUUAUGCGAGUCCAAGCCUUCUUCUCCGUUUUUAGUGUAUCUCUGUGGCAGAUUUACAGCGCCACAUACUGGUCUGACAUGUAUACUACACCAUUUUUGUCGGUUUCGUGUGGACGCAGAUAUUUCUUGAGACGGGGGUCGGGGUUGGGGAAAGCUCUGGCCUGGACGUAGCCUUAGUACUGAUCGAUCAUCGAAAUGAUUAAAACAAAUGUUACAAUAAAAUAAAAUUGACAUCAACGAAAAAUCAUAAGAUUUGACAACAUGUCAUGUUGGGCUAAUGCCGCGUUCCAGGCAACUCGUAAUCUGUGUUUUUCCAACCUCCUACCUGCGAAAGUGCACUGGAACGGCAGUCAAACCCGUGACUUCACACCAAAGACUGCUCCCACCUGUGAACUCGUACUAGAUCGAAAUACUCCCAGUUCCGAGCUCUGACGUCACAUUUCGCCCGUGAAAAAACAAUGGCAGCCCCUACGGAUAAUAUUGCCCAUGGAUGCGGUGUUUAUGCAAGUUGUACACAUUGAGUGUGUUCAUAAUUAAGAUAAAACAUUAAAACAAUAAGGUAAGAAACACCAGUUUGCAAUAUCAAACAGCUAAAUGAGCUGUUUUGUACAGCUAAAAAAAAGCUGGAAGUGGAUGAGACCGGAAGCCAGACACAUAAAUUUAAAAAUGGCCAUGCCCACUCUUAGGGGAAAAUAAGAGAUGGUCCUCACUGCAGAACACAAGAUCCAGGGGGCGUGGUUGGAUCCAGAUCCAACUCCUCCCACCUUACAUAUACCUAGGCCUACCCGUCUCCACCCCCUGAUCCCUAAACCCACCCUUCUCCACCCCUUAACCUACCAAUCUCCACCCCUAGAUUGGGAUCCAACCACGCCCCAUGGAUAUUGUGUUCUGCAGUGAGGGGCUACUAGAAAAUAAGGUGGAAUACAAGACGCGUUCGACGUUGUGAUAUUUUUUGAAACGACAGGGGGCGCACAAGCGAAAACGUCUUCGGAAGUAGCAGGAAAGAACAGAGAAGUAGGAGUUUCCUGGAAUUACGUCAGAUCAUUGCAAUCAUGUGCAAUGUUUUUACACCACAACAUAUGUGAAUUGAUAAGAAACAUGAAACACUCACAUGAGCAAUUAUGAUAAUUUAUUUAUUUAUUUGUUCAGAAAACAACACAAUACACUUUCUGUAGCAUUAAAAAUUUGCUUUUGGUUCAACAGUAUAAAAAUACAAGUAUAAAAAUUUAUACAGUUUCACAGU
rnacentral:lncRNA from 1 species